GUCUCGGACGCCGUGGGCGCGCCUGGUAAGGUCCUGUCGUAUCCGCGUGGUUCCUGCCCGCUGCGGGAGGGGCUCUGGAGCGCCGGGACUACAGCUGAGACCCGUCGGGCCGGGCCAGGUCGCGGACGAGGUCGACUGUUUGUUUAAGAAGCGGGGACUUUUGUCCUGAGUGCACCGUCUUUCAGCCUGCGGGACGGUGGUGCGAUUUGCAUUAGAGAUUGGCAAAAAUGAUAUAGCGUGACGCUAUAAGGCAUUGGUGAGGCUAUAAGGAAAUAGCCCCGGCAUAAUCUGGAGGAAGUGUGCACAGACAUUUGGAUUCGUGAGGAUUAAUAAAGGAGCUGUUAGUGAAAACAAACAUGCUCAUCUCUUAUGAGCUAUGGAUUUCUCUUUUAGGAGGACCAAUGCUCACUUCUAAGUAAGCACUGGUACGUGUGUGUGCCAAGAAGAUACAUGAAGACAGACAUAUAAAAGAUGUUUAGUGCAACUUUAUUUUCAGCAGCAAAGAAGUGGAAAUGAUUUCAAUGUCCAUCAGUUAAAAAAAUGGAUCAAUAUGUAGUUUAUUCAUAUGAUGAAAUACUGUGCCACAGUUAUAAUGAAUGAGUUUGAUCUACAUUUUUUUGCUAGAGCUAAAAAACAUAAAUAUGUGCAAUAAUACGUGCAGUAUGAUAGUGUUUACUUAAGAUGUGCUUACAUAUUGUUUAUGGAUGCUUGUACAUAUAUACUUACACACAGAAUACAUAAAGCUAUAAACAAUCAAUCAAUGGAGGUACUCCAAACUCUUGCUAGUGUGAAGGGAAUGAGACUUUGUGUGGGGAUUAGAGUGGGCUUUGACUGUAUCUGAUAUUUUCUGUUAAUAAUAACAAAAUGACUAAAUGGAAAUAAAAUUUCAAUCUUGACUGUUGUUGACCCUCACAGUAGGAAUAUUGACGCUUGUCACAGUAAUAGACUUUGCACUGCUCUAUGUCUUUUAAACUUGUUUAAAUUCAAGACCUAAUCCAACAGUAAGUGCCAGAGUGCAUGUGAGCUGUGUUGUGCAUUGGAAAGUGAUACUCAUGCUUUCAACCCUGCGUGUAUUUGGCAACUCUCAAAUUUUCUUAGGAAUGUCUCAGGACCUGCUUGUCCUCAGUCCUAAAGAAGCACCUCCCCACUCCCACCCAGACAGUGGUGCUCCCACAGGUGUCUGAAGGAAAGGUCAGGCUUUUCCAAAAUAUGUUUUAAUGUCCCAAGGAGCUUGAGGCCACAGUCCCAGACCAAGCACCUGGAAGAGAGGACCAUCAUCAUGAACCUCCCAUGAGCACCUCUAUCCCAAGAACACAUUUCCAUGGCCUUGUGGAACACUGAAUCUUGAGCAGACUGCAACCUCUUGGAUUUGUCAUGGCAAGAUAUUUGAAAAUAUGCCCAUUCCUUUUCCUAAAUUUCAGGAGAGGUGUUAAUCUGUGUGUACUUUUAAAAUGGUGGUAUUUAUACUGGACUUUCUGUUUAGAAUUGGUAAUAAAUCUUGGAAUAUAACCCUGUGA